AAGUCGUAACAAGGUUUCCGUAGGUGAACCUGCGGAAGGAUCAUUAACACUAAUGAAAUCCAAAACCUUUUGGAUCAACCCAACCUUAGCGAACCGUUCGUAUAUUUUCCUUUGCCCCAAUUUUACCAAACGCAAAAAAACUCUGAUGUAAAGUGUCUGAUUCUUAUUCUCGUUUCGGUUGUAAUGACCAGCGGGAAUCAAAAUCUAACGCAAUACAACUCUUAACAACGGAUAUCUUGGCUCUC
rnacentral:misc_RNA from 1 species